rnacentral:tRNA from 1 species
GCAGCCGUGGCCGAGUGGUUAAGGCGAUGGACCAGAAAUCCAUUGGGGUCUCCCCGCACAGGUUCGAAUCCUGUCGACUGCG